rnacentral:rRNA from 1 species
UACGAAGGGUGCAAGCGUUACUCGGAAUUACUGGGCGUAAAGCGUGCGUAGGUGGUUUGUUAAGUCUGAUGUGAAAUCCCUGGGCUCAACCCAGGAACUGCGUCCGAUACUGGUUGGCUUGAAUCCGGGAGAGGGAUGUGGAAUUCCAGGUGUAGCGGUGAAAUGCGUAGAUAUCUGGAGGAACACCGGUGGCGAAGGCGACAUCCUGGACCGGUAUUGACGCUGAGGCGCGAAAGCCAGGGGAGCAAACGGG